AUGGUGGGAGGGCUGCAGGCCUGUGUGGUGGACUGUAGCAUGGGGUAUACAAAACUAGGAUAUGCCAGAAAUAUAGAACCACAGUUGAUCAUCCUUUCCUGUAUUGCUACUAAGGAGUCACCAAAAGUGGGUGAUCAAUCUCAAAGGAGGGUGAUGAAAAGUAUUGAUGACCAAGACUUCUUCAUUGGUGAUGAAGCAGUAGAAAAAACCUACAUAUGCAACAAAGUGGCCAAUCCGCCAUGGUAUAGUUGAAGUUGGACCUGACAAAAAGUUUUAUAGAGCAAGUCAUCUUAAAUAUUUAAGGGCAGAAACUGAAGACCGUUAUUUUAUUUUGUCUGAACCUCGACUUAAUACUCCAGAAAACAGGGAAUAUACUGCUGAAGUAAUGUUUGAGUCCUUCAGUGUUCCAGGCUUGUACAUUGCUGUGCAGGCUGUUCUUGCCUUAGCUGCAUCUUGGACCUCCAGACAAGUAGGAGGACGGACAUUUACAGGUACAGUAAUAGACAGUGGAGAUGGUGUCACUCAUGUCAUUGCUAUGGCUGAAGGGUAUUUGAUUGCCAACUGUAUUAAACACAUUCCAAUCCCAGGACGAAAUAUAACAUAUUUUAUUCCGCAACUGCUGAGAGACCAAGAAGUAGGAAUCCCUCAAAAACAAUCCCUGGAAACUGCUAAGACAAUAAAGGAGCACUAUAGUUAUGUCUGCCCAGAUUUAGUAAAGGAAUUUAACAAGUAUGACACAGAUGGGUCAAAAUGGAUUAAGCAGUAUACCAGAAUCAAUGCUAUCUCAAAGAAAGAAUUUUCCAUUGGUGUUGUUUCUGAGAGACUUUUGGGAUUUGAAAUCUUUUUUUCAUCUAGAGUUUGCCAAUCCAGACUUUACAUAACCUAUCUCAGAAAUUGUAGGUGAAGUAAUUCAGAAUUGUCCUAUUGAUGUCAGACGGCCUCUCUAUAAGAAUAUGGUCCUCUCUGUAGGUUCAACCAUGUUCAGUGACUUUGGAUAUCACUUGCAAAGAGAUUUGAAAAGAACUGUAUGUAGAUGCCUGGCUGAAAUUAAGUAAGGAAUUGAGUGGCAGUAGAUUGAAGCCAAAAUCUAUUGAUGUACAAGUCGUUACACACCAUAUGCAGCCAUAUGCAGUUUGGUUUGGAGGAUCAAUGCUGGCUUCCACGCCGGAGUUCUACCAAGUAUGCCACACUAAAAAUCAUUAUGAAGAAAUUGGACCUAGCAUUUGCCGUCACAAUCCGGUGUUUGGAGUCAUGUCA
rnacentral:lncRNA from 1 species